AGGAUAAGCAAAAGUCCACCUUGAGCAAAUAACUAAAAGGAUAAAAAAAAGUCUAUUACAACACAUCAAGUGGCUUUUCUUGAAGCUCCAAUAUUAAAACCAUCAGGUAAAAUUACAGGAGAACAAAACACAGGUGCGGAUUAAUUUAUGAAUAAUGCUUGUGGUACACCGAGGUGUCCAACGGAGUAUCCAAAAUGCCCUCCGUUAUCCUUAUUGAGUUAAACGCUUGAUCUUGAGUCCCAUCACAGUUCACACACAAUCAAGACACGAGUUAAACUCCUUUCUUCAUUUCUUUAAUAAAUAAAAUAAUCAACAGUUAUUUGUUGAAUUGGGUUCAAUGAAUAUAAUAUUAAUAAAUUCAUUCUCUUUCUUAGUGGGUUGGAUUUUAAUUGAAUUUUGUUGAUUACGGUAGUUCGAAUAGAUUAAUGGAAUGCCCCUAUUAUGAUUAUUGCUUCUCUCCAUCGCUAAUGGCAUAUCAAAUUAUAAAAUCUUGAUGCAAUGAACUCACAAAUUUUGGAACAAAUAUAAAUGAAUUUAUGCCAAUAGUAACAAAGAAAUUCAUAAUUUGAGAGUGAGGGUUUAACCAAUAAAUGACUUUACCUAGUAAAACUUUUCUCUCCUCAUAUUCCGUUGUUUAUCUCAAACUUUGAGACCAAGUCCACCGUCUGUGUAUUGGAUUUAUAGAAGAAGAGAAUAUCCAUGGCUAUAUUUCAGGUGAGGUUUUUGCAAAGGGAAUUCAAAUCACAAAAAGAAAUUGAUGAAAAUGUAAUGAAGAGAAGACAACUGCCAACGUGUACUUCAAAAAUCAGAUUUGAAGACUGAAAAUUUAAUGGAAUAGAGAGUUUUUUUUGGCGGAGAAUGAAGAUUCUUGCUGUUUGG
rnacentral:lncRNA from 1 species